GGCCCUGUAGCUCAGCGGUUGGAGCGCUGGUCUCGUAAACCUAGGGGUCGUGAGUUCAAAUCUCACCAGGGCCU
rfam:Homo sapiens chromosome 6, GRCh38 reference primary assembly.